rnacentral:rRNA from 1 species
UUGAACGCUGGCGGCAUGCUUUACACAUGCAAGUCGAACGGUAGACCCUUUCGGGGGUUGAGAGUGGCGAACGGGUGAGUAAUGCAUCGGAACAUACCCAGUCGUGGGGGAUAACGUAGCGAAAGUUACGCUAAUACCGCAUGAGUCCUGAGGGAGAAAGCGGGGGAUCGCAAGACCUCGCGCGAUUGGAGUGGCCGAUGUCAGAUUAGCUAGUUGGUGGGGUAAAGGCCUACCAAGGCGACGAUCUGUAGCGGGUCUGAGAGGAUGAUCCGCCACACUGGGACUGAGACACGGCCCAGACUCCUACGGGAGGCAGCAGUGGGGAAUUUUGGACAAUGGGCGAAAGCCUGAUCCAGCCAUGCCGCGUGCGGGAAGAAGGCCUUCGGGUUGUAAAGCUCUUUCAGCAGGAGCGAAACGGUCGUUUUUAAUACAGACGGCUAAUGACGGUACCUGCAGAAGAAGCACCGGCUAACUACGU